CAGCAAAAAAAACAAGCACAACAGCAAAAAAAACAAGCACAUGUGCCUAUAUACAAAUGUCUAUAUAAUUGACAUCAGGUAGACUAUAUAUCAUCAUUCAUUCACUACUAAGUAUACAACAAUAUGCACGUACAGCAGCCUAUAUAUCAUCAUUCAUUCACUACUACAUAUGCACGAUAAAGAAAAAUACGAUACCUCCAUCCAAUUCUUUGUAAUACUAGCAGAGACAAUGU
rnacentral:lncRNA from 1 species